AUUAAUAUUUGAGAUUUGAAUCUAUUGGAUUAAAGGGAACAAUUAGUUUAAUCAUGGAAUGAAAGAAAAUUGUGAUGAAAAAAAUUCGCAAUUAAAUUUAGAUUAAAGUUCUGAGUCUACUCAGUAAAGUUAAAGACGAAGUUCAAUCGUUUGAUUAGUUGGUUGUUUCUACUGAUUAACUUGAUGGAAUAGUAAAAGAUUGUUAAUCAGAACGAAAGAUUAAUUGUCUUGGAGUAAAUCAAGUUGACAUGACAAUUUAAAUCUAAUUGGAAAUUAUACUUUCCAAUAAUCUGAAUAUUUUUGUUUUCUAUUGGAAAUUAAUUGAUUUGAUUUUUUGUUAUGAUUCGAGGCAAAAAAUAAUCGACUCGAUAAUGUAACAGUUUAAAUCGAUUCGAAAACUAAUCGAUUUCAAUCUAAUAUUUUCUUUUCAUUUCUGAUUAUCAACAAACCACAUGAAUUCUCAUGAACAUCUCCUGAAACUCAUUCCAUUAUUUUCUAUUCUGACUCUUUUUGGUUGAUAUAUUUAAAACUUUUUUGUUCCACUUAAAUCCUUGUUACCAAUUGAUCGUCAGUUAUAAAUAUCGAUCGUGUUUGUUAAUCCAAUCUACUUAAUCCUGAGAAACACCCAAACGUUAAAACCAUUUACAUAUUUUUUUGUUUUCUUCCAGUGAAAAGAUCAAUUGUCUUUUAAUUUUCUCAUUCGUUCCAUUAAUUUAAUUCUCUCGAUGUUGUUUGUAUUUUAAUCUUCUACCAUGUUGAUCACCGAAUAUCGUAUUCCACUUCCACUAUCGGUUGACGAAUACCGAGUGGCUCAGCUCUACAUGAUUACUAUUUGAUUGAUAUUUUACAAGAUCAAUUAUUUUCCAAUGAGUAUGAGGCGAAAAAAGAUCCAACAAUCAUCUUCCAUAGAAAACUGGCCAAGUUCCGUUCCGAAGAUUGGAUUGAAGAUCGUUUGGAGGCCAUGAAAGGCGUGAACACUUCGAUCUUCGAUAAAACGUAAAAUGUGCGCUUUUUAUUUGGUUCGUGUCGAAUUUAAAUCUUGAAGAAUACAAAAAUAAUUUAGCUCUUCAUAAAGCUCACCGUCAAGCAAUCACAUGGUAAGAUGAAUGGUUUUGGCUCAUCUAGUGAUGAUAUUGGAAAUUUAGAACGACAAAAAAGUAACAACCAGCAUAGAAAAUGACAACAAUUAAUGAUCUCAACCGUUUUAAAGACAAUCAACCUGAAACAAUGAUGACAAUCGCAAUUGAAGUAACAGCAAUACCAUGGAAAUUGGUCAUCCAUCACACGAAGUUAAUUUAAAUGUGACUUAUAAGGAUUAAGAUGAUGAGAUUAAAAACUUAUCCUCUGAAAAACUUUACAAUAAGAGUCCACCACGAAUUAAUCAAGAACAAUCAUCUACCAGCUUUGAGCUGCUCAAGAUAUCGCCGAUAAUAUUAAUCUGAUCUUUUUAUUGUCAUGUUAAUAAAAGCUGAGAAUAGAAACUGAAA